UUUCGUGCCCUCGCUUAUUACAGGUCCAUAAACAUUUCUCUAAGCGAAAGGAACGAAAGCGGAAGCACUAUUCUUGUUGCCGAUAUGAAAGCUAAAAUAAAUCCGAUCACGGUGGCGCUACCUGGUAUCGAUCAGCAUACACCCAUCGAAUUAGGAGAACAUAAGUUCCUCGUACUUUUUGGCAGUAGCACCUGCCUUCUCCUGGCUGAUUUGCCGAAUUCGCGUGUGUUGCAGGUACCACGCUUCUCCACAAAAUGAAGAAUAAUGGCAUAUUGGAUGCUUCCCUACUUCAUAAAAAUGAGGGUGAUUUAUAGCGUAGAUGGUGCCUCGCAAGUGUUCUUGUAUUAGUUGCCAAGGAAGCCGAUAAGGCCCUUA